rnacentral:rRNA from 1 species
AUUGCACAAUGGGCGCAAGCCUGAUGCAGCAACGCCGCGUGAGGGACGAAGGCCUUCGGGUUGUAAACCUCUUUUAGUAGGGAAGAAGCGACUGGGUUUUCCUGGGAGUGACGGUACCUGCAGGAAAAGCACCGGCUAGCUACGUGCCAGCAGCCGCGGUAAUACGUAGGGUGCAAGCGUUGUCCGGAAUUAUUGGGCGUAAAGAGCUCGUAGGCGGUUUGUCGCGUCUGCUGUGAAAACCCGAGGCUCAACCUCGGGCCUGCAGUGGGUACGGGCAGACUAGAGUGCGGUAGGGGAGAUUGGAAUUCCUGGUGUAGCGGUGGAAUGCGCAGAUAUCAGGAGGAACACCAAUGGCGAAGGCAGAUCUCUGGGCCGUAACUGACGCUGAGGAGCGAAAGCAUGGGGAGCGAACAGGAUUAGAUACCCUGGUAGUCCAUGCCGUAAACGUUGGGAACUAGAUGUGGGGACCAUUCCACGGUCUCCGUGUCGCAGCUAACGCAUUAAGUUCCCCGCCUGGGGAGUACGGCCGCAAGGCUAAAACUCAAAGGAAUUGACGGGGGCCCGCACAAGCGGCGGAGCAUGCGGAUUAAUUCGAUGCAACGCGAAGAACCUUACCAAGGCUUGACAUAUACCGGAAACGGCUGGAAACAGUCGCCCCGCAAGGUCGGUAUACAGGUGGUGCAUGGUUGUCGUCAGCUCGUGUCGUGAGAUGUUGGGUUAAGUCCCGCAACGAGCGCAACCCUCGUCCUAUGUUGCCAGCACGUAAUGGUGGGAACUCAUGGGAUACUGCCGGGGUCAACUCGGAGGAAGGUGGGGAUGACGUCAAAUCAUCAUGC